CUUUUACUGGAGCUGUACAGUGGAGUCGGUGAUUGCUGCUGAUCAUAAUCAAGUAUUUUAGGAGCUUAUUUAGACAUGUAUCUGAUAGCUAAGGAUUUUUCAACUUUAUUCUCUUACGUAUUUUUCAACUGUAAAUUAUUGGGCUUUUAAAUCCUGCUAGUAUUGCUCGACUCUUACUCUCACAAAUGGAUGGAAUUAAUUGCUGUUAGGAGGUUGGAAAAUAGCAAAUAUAGAUUUGGACGGUGGUAGUAAUUUUGAGCAAAUAAUGUUUUAUCUUUUUUUUCCUUAUUUUUCCCUAUUCCAGUCAUACACGUGGACCUAACUGCACCAGUAGCUUUUCUGAGAAUACUUGCUGAAAAGGAAGUUUUCUGGAAUGGUAUUUGCUAAGUGGAAGCCAGAAGAGGAGGAAAAUGUUUUGCCACGUGGAUGUGAAGAUUUCCUCUAAAAGGUACACAUGGACUAAAUUGCCUUUAAAUGUUCCAAAAUUAGUUCUCAUUUAUUUGCAGUCUCAUUUUGUUUUGUUUUUUUUCUCUAUGUGUCAAUCCAUUUGGGAGAGGCCAGCCAUUGGAAGAGCCACCACUUCCAGUGCUAGUUGGAUGGUUGGUUAUGAUUGCCUUCUGUAAAGAAUUCUUAAGGCAUAAAUACGUGUCUAAAUGGACCUCAUAUCUUUGAGAUAAUUAAACUAAUUUUUUCUUCCCCAUUAGGGAUUAUGCUGAAUUUGUAUGGUUUAUAGUUGUUAGAGUUUGAGGUGUUAAUUCUAAUUAUCUAUUUCAAAUUUAGCAGGAAAAAAGAGAACAUCACCUUGUAAAACUGAAGAUUGUGACCAGUCAGAAUAAUGUCAAAGUGCUUACAGUGCAGGUAGUGAUAUGUGCAUCUACUGCAGUGAAGGCACUUGUAGCAUUAUGGUGACAGCUGCCUCGGGAAGCCAAGUUGGGCUUUAAAGUGCAGGGCCUGCUGAUGUUGAGUGCUUUUUGUUCUAAGGUGCAUCUAGUGCAGAUAGUGAAGUAGAUUAGCAUCUACUGCCCUAAGUGCUCCUUCUGGCAUAAGAAGUUAUGUAUUCAUCCAAUAAUUCAAGCCAAGCAAGUAUAUAGGUGUUUUAAUAGUUUUUGUUUGCAGUCCUCUGUUAGUUUUGCAUAGUUGCACUACAAGAAGAAUGUAGUUGUGCAAAUCUAUGCAAAACUGAUGGUGGCCUGCUAUUUCCUUCAAAUGAAUGAUUUUUACUAAUUUUGUGUACUUUUAUUGUGUCGAUGUAGAAUCUGCCUGGUCUAUCUGAUGUGACAGCUUCUGUAGCACUAAAGUGCUUAUAGUGCAGGUAGUGUUUAGUUAUCUACUGCAUUAUGAGCACUUAAAGUACUGCUAGCUGUAGAACUCCAGCUUCGGCCUGUCGCCCAAUCAAACUGUCCUGUUACUGAACACUGUUCUAUGGUUAGUUUUGCAGGUUUGCAUCCAGCUGUGUGAUAUUCUGCUGUGCAAAUCCAUGCAAAACUGACUGUGGUAGUGAAAAGUCUGUAGAAAAGUAAGGGAAACUCAAACCCCUUUCUACACAGGUUGGGAUCGGUUGCAAUGCUGUGUUUCUGUAUGGUAUUGCACUUGUCCCGGCCUGUUGAGUUUGGUGGGGAUUGUGACCAGAAGAUUUUGAAAAUUAAAUAUUACUGAAGAUUUCGACUUCCACUGUUAAAUGUACAAGAUACAUGAAAUAUUAAAGAAAAUGUGUAACUUUUUGUGUAAAUACAUCUUGUCUUGUUUUCAUUCAAAAACAUUUCACUUUUGGGGUUGCGUGUCAGAUUUGGCAGUAUAAAUUCUGGCUAUAUUUUUUGUUGUUAGAUUUAUUUGGCUGUUAAGUAUUGCGAUAUGACUAAACAUACUGUAUACCUGAUGAUCAUCUGUAAAGUUAGAGUAUAUCUUUUUGCUUUCUUUGGAGUUAGUGUUAUUCCAGGAUAUUUUACUUAAUCUAAAAGUUAAUUUAUGUUGCUCAUAUAUUACUCAAGUAUUUAAAUUUAGAGAGAAUGCCGCUCUGUUUAAAGCAAUGUGUAAAGAUGAGUUUUUUUAAGCAUGGAAUUUAGGGUUGGGGUACAAUUUGUUUCUAUUAAGCAAGUACCAGUUUACCAAUACAUGAGUAACUGAAGUGUAACUGUUAAAUGCUUGUAUACUAGUUUUUCUUUCUGAUUGUCAGUGAUUUAUAAGCUAUAAAUGACCAAGGUCCUCAGACUGCUUUUAGCAUCUGCAACUUAAAAAAAUGGGAGUUAGAAAAAGAACAAAUGCUAAAUAGAGUAACAGUUAAAUGUAUGUGUACACUCUUCCCAAAUGCCAAGAGUGCAGCGGUGGGGUGAGAUUCAGAUAUUCAUUUAUUUCUAAGUCUGUAGUUAACAUUUAUGUUCCCUACUCCCUACGUAAGCCAGACUUUGGCAACAGUGAUAGUUGAUUCCAGGCUUAUUUGACUUAAAGUCACUGAAGUGGAAACUAAGAAGUGGCAGUUAGUGUUUUACCCAGCAUUUCUGCCUUCUCUCUUUUCUUCAUGUGUUUUUGUCUCUAGCCUAUGUGUAUUUGUGUAGAAUAAUGUGGGAUACCUGAAUAAUAGAUUUAAAAGGACCAAGUGGUAAAAUUGGGCCCAAGCUGAAGUACAGGCAAACUUGAUGUUUGAAAGAUAAGUUUUGAGAAAUGUCAUUGUAUUUUGGAGUAAAAGAGGCUAUCUUAGUAAUAAGAAAUAAACUUCCAUAACACUAGGUUAGACCACCCAAUAAAUCUAGAAAUCAGCUUUUAAAAAUAUUGUCUGAAGUCUAACAAAAGUUUUCACCUCUAAUGUGUUCUUUAAGAAAUUUAAGGAACUUAGCCUUGGAUUCCUGAAUAGAAAGGUAAGAAUUCUAUCAUUCUGGAGUUGAUGAAAACAUAAAUUUUCAGGAUGUGAAAUGAACAGUGAUUUAUAAAAUGGAAAUCAAAUUGUACAUUAGCAGAGUUCUUAAGCUUUUUGAAUUGAAGGAGACCUAAUAAUUGUGUCUUUUUGGUUAUUUAGUGACAAACGUGGCUUUCAAACUAUGCUUAAAAAGUUCCGGCUGGACACGGUGGCUCACACCUAUAAUCCUAGCACUUGGGGAGGCUGAGGCAGACGGAUUACCUGAGGUCAGGAGUUCGAGACCAACCUGGCCGACAUGGUGAAACGCUGUCUCUACUAAAAAUAUAAAAAAUUAGCCGGGUGCAGUGGCGUGCACCUGUAAUCCCAGCUACUCUGGAGGCUGAGGCAGGAGAAUCACCUGAACCUGGGAGGUGGAGGUUUCAGUGAGCUGAGAUCCUGCCACUGCACUCCAGCCUGGGCGCAAGACCAAGACUUAAACGCAAAAAAAAAAAAAAAAAAAAAAAAAAAGUUUCAUAAUACAGCAUGGUCUGGUAGUUUGCAAAAUGGUGUGCUUUUGGGGAGAUACACUAGCAAUUUUUUUAAAAACUGGAACAGUGUGAUAGGAAGCCUGCUGGAUGAUUUCUUAAAUAUUCUAAAAUGUAAGUCAAAUAUGUUUUAAUAACAAAGACUUAAAUGGCUUUUCUCCCUAGAGACUGAAACUAGUAUUCAUUGUGUUCAGAACUUAAUUGGGCUUGAACUGAGAUUUAAAUCUAAUAAACAAGUUAAUAAAUGUGUAUGUUUUGUUGUGGGUUUGGUAGUGAUCUGUGGUUCUAUAGGGUUUAAUAGGAAUUGCUUUUGAUUUGUUUCUGGCUUUAGAAUGUGAGGCAAAUUUUACAUUCUUGGUUCUAUUAAGAUUUUCUUAGGCAUGCUAACAUGCCAACAAAAAGCCAUGUAAGUAUUGUAUAAAAAGAUUCACAUUGUUAAUUUAGCCAUUUUGAAAUUCAGAUGAGUGAGCAAGUUGAUAAUGGCCUCAUCUCUGACCUGAGAAAAAACAACUUUGACCCUUGUUCUUAAAAUGCUUUAACCUUGAAGUUGCUUGAGACUUAAGAGGUCAUGUUGCUUUAGGUUUAAUAAAUAGCCUUAACUAUUUGGAGGGGAAAAAAUGGGUCAACUUUUUUUUUUUUUUUUGGCGUUUGCAUGUACAACUUUCUAUUUUUAGCCUAUAUUUGGAAAGAAAGCACUUAACAUUUUAGGAAUUCUUUUUAAAGCUGCUUGCAAAGUGUUGGUGAUUUUACUGAAAACUUUUGAGAUCUUCAUUUUACAGGCAGACCUGUCUAACUACAAGCCAGACUUGGGUUUUCUCCUGUAGUUUGAAGACACACUGACUCCUGACAAAAUGCAGCCUGCAACUUCCUGGAGAACAACUCAGUGUCACAUUAAAGUUUAUUAUGUAUUUAAUGAUACACUGUUUAAUUGACAGUUUUGCAUAGUUUGUCUAACUUUAGAGAAUUAAGAGCCUCUCAACUGAGCAGUAAAGGUAAGGAGAGCUCAAUCUGCACAGAGCCAGUUUUUAGUGUUUGAUGGAAAUAAGAUCAUCAUGCCCACUUGAGACUUCAGAUUAUUCUUUAGCUUAGUGGUUGUAUGAGUUACAUCUUAUUAAAGUCGAAAUUAAUGUAGUUUUCUGCCUUGAUAACAUUUCAUAUGUGGUAUUAGUUUUAAAGGGUCAUUAGGAAAAUGCACAUAUUCCAUGAAUUUUAAGACCCAUAGAAAAGUUGAAGAAUGCUUAAUUUUCUUAUCCAGUAAUGUAAACACAGAGACAGAACAUUGAGAUGUGCCUAGUUCUGUAUUUACAGUUUGGUCUGGCUGUUUGAGUUCUAGCGCAUUUAAUGUUAAUAAAUAAAAUACUGCAUUUUAAAGCUGUUAAGAAAUUGUCCAGAACGAGAAUAUUGAAAUAAAAACUUCAAGGUUAUUAUCGCAGUUUUUAUGGCGUUUUUGUUUUGUCACUACAGAUGGUCUAAAGGUUACUUAUUAAUUAAUUGGGGAAGUGGAGACAAGGACCAAAGUUUAUCUGGAUUUUCUUAUUUAAUCUUCAUUACCUGUGAAAUAUGUAUUUGUAUUCUUACUUUACAUAUGAGAUCAGAAGUUCAUUUUCAAGCAGAAUGGAAAGGUGGUAAAUGGACUCUGAAUUAAAAUAUGUCAGUAUUUUAAAAGGUUAUCUUCUGCCUAGUAUUUUUAUGGAAUCUGACAAGUUCUCAGAUCACACUUGUUUCCUUAAAUCUUGGUAAGUCUGAAGCAUUCUUCAUUUUGUUUAUAUUAUACACGUUAGUAAGGUGGGAGUUCUUUUGUUUUUUGUGUUUUUUGGCCAGUUGAUAACAUGAAAGUUUAAGAGAGGAGGCCAAAGUAUAUAAAAAGUCUUAAACUCCUGCUUCUAAUAAAUGUCCAAUAUGUGUUGGCUCCUGGGUUGAGUGUUUAUUAAUGGGUCUGUACUAACUCUAAAACAUUAAAUAAGAAUGGUAUGUUCUGACCAGCCCUCAAAGUUCAGCCAUUUCUAAAAGUUCAAAAAAUCAUUGUAAAUAUUUUUUAAAUGAGGUACGAGAUUGUACCUGUCUAUGGCCAGUAACACAAGAAAUCUAGGCUCAUGCAGAGUUUUAGCAUAGUUGACCCUCAGUAUCAGUGGAGGGAUUGGUAGGACCCUCAGUGCAUACCAAAUUCUUCAGGUGCUCAAGUCCCUUAUGUAAAGUGGUGCAGUGUUUGCAUGUAAAUCUAUACAUGUCUUCUUGUAUGCUUUAAGCUGUCUAUAUAUUGCUUGAAUAAUCUGGUAAAAUAUCUUACAUAUUAUUCAUGUAGAUUCAGUAUAGUAUUUGCGUGUGGCAAAUUCAGGUUUGGCUUUUGGGGACUUCGUGAGAUUUUUUUUCCUGAGUAUUUUCAGUCUGUUUGUGGUUGGAUGCAGGAACCACAGAUACAUAGGGCUAACUUAAGUAAGUGCCGACAUAAAUGCGUUAGUCAUAGAGGUAAAUAACAAAGACCUGAGUUUGGUAGUAAGUUCCCCGAAAUGAAAUGUUAGUAUACUCCUAAGUGAUUAGUAAUUAGAUCUCAGGUUGAAUAUACUAAAUCCUUAAUAACUGCAUGUUUACUUUUAAGACCUAGAUUUGUCAGUAUAUUAGUAGAGGUGAGCAUGUACUAAUUGUUCACACUUGUUUAUAAAAGCAUAUAUACUGUGAAUUUUUAGUACGUUUAAUGUUGACUUCAACUUACAUAGACUGAAAAAGAUUGAAAAAAAGCUUCGACGACAUCAGUUCUGCACUUGUUGAGAUGUACUGAUCCAGAUGGAAUACCACACUGUUCAGCAGGUUGGGGUAACUAGAUGAGACUAGUGAAUGUUCCAAGAGUAGAUGAAAAUUGGGGUCCUGUAAGGUGGUGCUAGGAAUUCUAAAGUGAUUAUGCAUUUACCAAGAAAAGGUUCUUAACCAGUUGUCUUAAAAUUAUUAAGACGUAAAGACCUGGAAUCUUAAUCUAGCUGCACUAUAUUAGAGUCUUUGGGGCAGGAUGCUGCGCAGACAAGUAUUUUGAGAAAUACCUGUUGAUUUUGCUGUAUAUACUUAAGGAUAUAUCUACUACCCUGAAUUGUUGGAAAUGCUGAGCCAUAGGAAUGCAGAAGAACAUCAAAACACCUUAGAAUUUAUAUGCAGGAAAGAGACCAGUAAACUAUUUUUAUGGUUCAUGCAGUCAUUACUCAGUUUUAUAGCUGACUGACAAAAUAUGUGCCCCAACCCCACAUUUAUUUCUAAAUCCACAGGCUUUUCCUUACUCUUCAAUUUCAGUAACUUCCCUUUUUCUUCUCCAAUGAUACUUUGUUUUGGUAACAGCACCUAACAGGCCAGGUGUGUAGUUGUCUUUGUGCUAUACCUGUAUUUCCUUGGUUGGCUACUGUCACAGUGGCCACCAUCAUUCUGAACAAGUAAGGUGCACAAGGUACAAGCCAUGUCUUUAGACAUAGGUUAUCGUCAGCAUUUAGAUUCUCCUCUAAGGCUUUCAUCUAAAACUCCCUUGGUUUUGUGUUUAAAACUUAGUCCACAGUUUUCUAGUGUUACCCUCAGAAUAAUUGUCAAAAUUGUACUUUCUAAUACUCAAGAUUGCAUCUAAAUUUCAAGUUAGAAAAGAUGUUUAUGCCAUAUUCUGAGUGUCUUGUGUUUAUAACCUAUGAUUCUGCCCUUGACUGUACUUACGAAUACUCCUUUUAAAAUACGAAACUUGAUUGAGACCCCAGCUCAUUUACUGAUGUCUUAAUACAACUGCCUUUCCACUUAAGUGUUUUGGCUCCCCCAGUUCCUAUCAUUUAUCCUCUCCAGGCAGACUUCCACUUCAGACUGCAUUUGCUAUUCCCUUAGUUUGGGAACUUCCCACUCCGGAUACCUAUGACUUAGUCUUGUUUCCUUGUAGUCCUUGUACACAGAUGUCAGACUGGCUCUCCCUUAAACUGCAUACUCUGUUCCUGUUCUCUGCAUCAUCAUCCUGAAUUAGUGGCAUCACCUGGGAUAUUGGAAGUGCAGGUCCUUCCCACCCCCUUCCAAACCUGAAUUGGGAGCUUCGUUUUUUAAUCCCCCCAAUUAAUCUCUAAGAUAUAAGGCCUCCAAGGGCAAAGAUUUGAAGAUGUGUGGUUCAUGGAUGCUUAUUCAACAUCUAAAAUGGUACCUGGUGUGUAGAAGGCACUGAAUAGACUGAACAGGUAAGUGGAAAUGCCCGUGGGUGAAUGUUACUUCUAGGAUGAGACGGUCUGAAAGAGAAAAGCAAAACAAGACUAGUAUGGGGGCAAAGUGCAUUAUUGACGGUGUGGUAAAAAGUCAUUAGAGCAACGUUGGUGGAGCAAGAAAACAGAGUAAGUAAAAAGGAUUUGCUGUGUACAGUAAUCCCAGCAAAAAUGAAGGAAAGCCUAGAAGUGGGGGAUCAAGAAAAAAACCAACUGAUAGAUGCUCCAUUUGUGUGGAUAUGUAAUGUUCAUCUGUUGGAAGUAAAUGUAAAACCCAGCUUCUAAAUCUCAGAAAGCAACUGACAGCAGCAAUAGGGUGAAUGUGAAAGCACUGAACAAAGUAACAAAAGUGCUGAGAAGUUGUGCUUUGUGACAGAUUAGUUUUCAUGAUGUUGCGUGGAUGUGAGAAGGCUCUGCUAAUAGGUAUAGUCAGGUGUGUUUUUUUUUUCGGUUUGGUUUGUUCUCUGUAUUACUUUGAAAUUUAGACUAUCAAGUACCAGAAUACUAUAGUUUUCUAACUCAGGUUCACUCCCUGCAGAAGGUUCAGGAGUACAAGAAGCCCUGCACUGAAUCGUGGUGCCUCAAUUAAAUUUUGAGUUGUCCUUUUGGCUUCCUGAGACAAAACAACGUGUUAAACCAGUUACUUCGAGUGUGUGACAUGAGAAGAUGGAUGAUGAUAAAGAGAAGUUGAGAAAGGCACCUCAGAUUAAUUUUAGGAAACAAAUGUAAACUAAACUUGAAUUCUAUUCUCUUUGAGUCAUGUAAUACUUGGCUAAUCGGUUGAGAAGCUUAAAGAACUAUUUAAGAAGUCUUACAGUGUAAUGUUUAGGACGGAGAAUUCUGGGUUCAAGUACCAGUUUCCUCCAUUAAUAGCUUAGGCAACUUAAGUGUGUUGUCUUUCCCCAAAAAUUGUAAGCUUAGGUAGGCUUUCCCAUCUUGAUCAAAAAGGUAGCUAUCAUGUUCACAUCCAGCUGGAAAAUAAACCUUUCCUCAACUUCAAAGUGAAUUUUCAGCUCCACUCUGCCCACCUGAACUCGGUCUGAGGAACAAGAUUACAUUCAGGCUUGAGCUUUGUGUACCAUCUCUGUUGACAGUACCACUGAAAGUCUGUUCCCUUCCUGAAGCACACAGGAUACCUAGGCAGGUUGGUGGCAUGGAUAACUGAAAGAUGAGAAUACAAUAUUAACAUUUGGGGGCACAUAGAUUUUAGUGAGGGUAGAGAUGGAAGAGAGGAAGGGAGAGGAUUUUCAUUAAGUUGAUAACUUGAGCACAAGUCUAAGGCAAACAUUGUCAGGCCUCUGUUAUUCAACCGCACUUGGCAAGGCUGAUGCAGCUGCUGCUUAUAGGUCUUGGCUAAAAUAUUACUUCCUCAAAGCCUUUUCUGACUGCCCUCCCCUAUUCAGUUAAUCUCUGCCAUGUUUUAUUCAAAGUACUUAACUACAAUUUAUAGUUAUGUGUAUUUGGAUAUUUUGUUAUUUUGAAUUCAUUACAUUACUGCUUUUAACAAAUUGCCACAAACUUUUUUUGUUGUUUGAGACAGUCUUGCUCUGUCACCCAGGCUGGAGUUCAGUGACCCAAUCAGCUCACUGCAACCUCUGCCUCCUGGGUUCAAGCGAUUCUCCUGCCUCAGCCUCCCCAGUAGCUGGGAUUACAGAUAUGCUUGCACCAGCACGCCUGGCUAAUUUUUGUAUUUUUAGUAGAGAUGGGGUUUCACCAUGUUGGCCAGGCUGGUCUCAAACUCCUGACCUUGUGAUCUGCCCACCUCGGGCUCCCAAAGGCCGCAAACUUUUAAUGGCUUGAAAUCUUACAGUUCUGUAGGUCAGGAGUCUUGACACAGGUCCCACUAGGUUACAAUUAAGGUGUCAGCAGGGCUGUAUUAGUCCCUAGAGUCUUUAGGGGAGGCAAGGUUUUUUUUUUUUAUCUUUUCAAGCUUCUGAAGACUCUGCCUUUGGCUCACGGUCUCUUACUCCAUCUUCAUAUCUAGCAGCAGCAGGUGGCGUCUGCAUCACACUGGACCCCUCUUACCUCCCUCUUUCACUUUUAAGGACCCUUGUGAUUAAUAUUGAGCCCAUCCAAAUAUUUAGAAAUAAUUUAUUUUAAGGUCAGCUCAUUGGCAGUCUUAAUUCCCCUUGUAACAUUUCACAUUUGCAGGUUCUAGGAUUAGGACUUGGAUAUUGUUGGAGGUCAUUCUGCCUGUCUUAGGGAAUUGUGUUGGUUUUGGACAUGGUUAUAGUUCCAGGCAUACAUAACUGCUUAGAGUUGUUUUCAGACAGCGUAAGUGAAAUGAAUGAGCUAAGGAAAAUACUUAAUCCAAUAAAAAAUAGAACAUACUCGGGCUGUCUCAAUGUUUUCCUACGGUAUUUAAGUGCCAGUUUAUGGAGGUUUUAAAGAAAAGAUUUUCUCAGACGAGAAGAGCUUAUAAUAUACUUCCUGCAAACAUUCUAGAAAAUGUAGGUCCUUAUCAGUCAACCUUCAGAAUGGGGAAACCACAAAAUAAGUGAAAUUUUGUUAACCUAUCUAAGUAAACAUUAAAGAGUUGCUUUUAGAAAUGACACAAUGUAAAGAGACCAUCAGGGUCUAAAACCUCAUUAGCCAGAACUGGAAAAUGAGCUUUUAAAUACAGGUAAAAAGUAAAUAAGCAAUUUAUCCUCUACUUUGUUAGAGUACAGAAAUAGUAUUUCAAAGCAACCACUAGCAGAAUAAAAGACUAUACUUAACUUUGAAAUCACCAGGAAAAAGGCUAGGAAAACAGCCCACAAAGCAAAAGACAAAAAGGAGGAGACAGAAAUAAGAACAUUUUUAAUUAAAAUUAAGCACAGAAAAAUUUUAAGUAGUUUGUAUUCAAG
rnacentral:lncRNA from 1 species